rnacentral:rRNA from 1 species
ACGGGUGCGUAACGCGUGGGAAUCUACCCAGAGGUUCGGAAUAACGGUUGGAAACGACUGCUAAUACCGGAUGAUGUCGAGAGACCAAAGAUUUAUCGCCUUUGGAUGAGCCCGCGUAAGAUUAGCUAGUUGGUGAGGUAAAGGCUCACCAAGGCUACGAUCUUUAGCUGGUCUGAGAGGAUGAUCAGCCACACUGGGACUGAGACACGGCCCAGACUCCUACGGGAGGCAGCAGUAGGGAAUAUUGGACAAUGGGGGCAACCCUGAUCCAGCAAUGCCGCGUGAGUGAUGAAGGCCUUAGGGUUGUAAAGCUCUUUUACCCGGGAUGAUAAUGACAGUACCGGGAGAAUAAGCUCCGGC